UUUUAAGAGGUUUGACCAGUUAUAAAAGGAUCAACUUUAAUUUUCUUAGAUGUUAGAAAUGCUGAUCGAUAUGACACGGUGGGUCUUAAACAGGAAGCACUACCAACAGGAAGGAAGUUAAAGCCAGAUACUGUAUGCUUUGCAAGCGCAAGAAAAGCUAUGAGCAGAGGAUCUGGAGGGUGAAGUUAAUCAAUGCGUAGAUGUGGAAAAAAGGGAAGAAGGUUUCAAGCUAAAAGGAUGACUUGGUUGUCAAAGAGCUAUCAUGGCAGUACUCUCAUCUGCUGGUUUGGAGAAAUAAGAACUUCAAUGGUAUCUGUUUGAAAAACUGAUGGGGUAUAAUGACUCAUAGAUAUAGUAAGAGACUGAGAAAAGCCCAUUGUUUAGCCAGCCACCUUGUAAGCAGAAUGGACCAGUGAACUGUUCUCCACUACUGACCGCACGUUUUAAAUCUGCAACCUGUACUGUCCAGAAGGGUAAAAGAAGUGCAUUGUGAGAACACCAGCACCUGAAUGUUCCCUUCUAAGCCACAGAACAACCUGACUUGGAACUAAUCAAUCAAUUCUUCACUGUUGCUGGAUCAAAUUCCUGGAACUCAGUUCCAAUUAUGAAUGUGCAUAUCUCUAUAAUCCAAGGACUGCAAUGGCUCAAAGGCAGCUCACUACCACUUUCUCCAAGGAACCUAGACAACAAAUGGGACAUGGACAUCAUGUCCAUGUCCAAUGUCCAUGUCCCAUGAACAAAUAAUUUUAAAAAUUAAGGAUUUUUUCCACAUAAACAAUUUUGGCUGAAGGAUGAAUGUCUAGGCAGGAUAUAUCAUGUGAUGACAGGAGCAGGAUGUUGGAAUUGUAUAACACUGGUACAAUUCUAUCAUUGUAAUGAGGGCAGGUCUGAUGCACAACUGAGUUUGUUACGCAGUGCACUGUGUUGAACAAGCAUGGCUAGAUCUCUUCCUCAAUCAAACCACCAAAAUGAUGGAUGGCGUUUUUCAACUUGCAUAUUUUGUUGGCAAAGAGCAGGUAUAACGUUGCAAUAUAUAGCUUGGCGACUUCAUGUCCAGUACAUUUGUGUUCCACUGCACAUGUCCUGUCCUGUAGAGAAUGGAAGUCUUAGAAAACUCACCAGUUAUCUUGGGAAUGGAAGGUCAGUAAAUUAUAGCCAUCAACUGCCACUGAUUGAAGAAGUUUCAGAGCAAGGCAACCUCACCAUCCAGUGAAAAAUACUGGUGAUUACAAAUGACUUGCAGAAUAUCUGUAAACUCAUGUAAAUUAUACAAAAUGUGCCAUGAAACUGUCAUUGGCUUUCAUUUUAGUACCUUGUGUUCCUCACAAAUCAGAUGUUUAAUGGUUGUGGAAAGUACAGCUCAUUCUAUAGUACAGAAUCAGAAAGAAUGGAUAUAACAGCUUCAGUAACAAAUUUAAAAUGUGUUUUCUUGUCAUUGACAAAAACAUCUGCAUAUCAGGAAUCAUUUUGAGGAUCUAUAAUUUUUCCCAAAAAAAGCUACAAUGUGAUGUCCAUGAAAUCAAUUUCUUGAACAGGAAUAGGUUGUGGUGUAUUAUUCUCGCUGUUUUGUACCAACACUCAGACAGCUCUGCUGAUCCUGCAGAUAGGUCUGAAAAGGUCCCUUUUGCUACAGGGAUGACACAGCACAUUAAUGGUUGGGUAAUUUACCCGCCAAUGGGAGUGUUUCUCACCAUGCCAUGAACAAGGAGCAAUGAUGGAAGUGUACCCUCUUUCCAUUUCUGAUUGACUUAAUUGGCUUGCAGUUGACAAACUGGACAGGUUCAGCUGAGGGCUUCAGGGAAAAUCUUUGUCAUAAUUCAGGAGAGAUUAUUCUGUUUAUAGAUUUCAACCUACUGGACUAUUUGAGCAUCUUUGGACAAUGUGAGACCUUCCCUGGAGUGUAAAAGAUCAAACAGAGCACCACCCAGGAUAUAAACUGAUAAACUGAUCUCACAAAGUCCCAUGUUUAUGGUGAUCUGCUAAAGAAUAGAGGUUAUUUAUGAAAGAAAUGAUACACAUGCCUGGUUCCUGGCAAUGCUGUUGGAACCCGAAUGUAACUGAUAACCAAGAAGCAACUUCAACUGAACUAGGUGAUAAGAGCCUUAAUUAAAUCUAUCUGAACUUGGACAAAAACUAGAACAACAUGUUACCACUGGUGUAUAAAAUCACAUAAAACUGGUCUUUCGCAGAUUUGGAAGGAACAUCUGAGAUAGUACAGUAUUGGGUAUACCAUUGAUGCCACCUUUAACUGAGAAGCCUGGCCUGUAUGGGCCUCAUGAUACAAAAGCUAUGCUAGAGCUAAGGACUUACCUUGUACUAAUGCUAUACAUGUAUUUUGUCCUUAAGGAAGCACAUGUGUUCAUCACUGAAUAGGAUCUUUUCGAUCGUGCUUCAGCUUGUCACCUUUUUUUAGCCCAAAGCAUAGCAUUCUGUCAUGUUGAUCUUCGACUGCAUACUGACAGAUUGGUGAUUAUUCUAUGUACAGUAUAGAACAAGUGUCCUCAACCAUUCCAACCACAGCAUCAGUUAAACCUGAAAGUGGCUAAUUGCUUUUGCUUCAAGCCUUCCCUGAGAAUUCAACUUGUGCUGCUGACUGUUUUGAAUGUGAUGGUGCAAACACAAGUCCUGAAACACUAUUGAAUAAAGCUGAAUUGAUCAAAGGCUGUAAAGAGGGAAAAUAAAUUGUUUUUAUUAAGUUAACACCUAUUUAAAUAAAACCUAUCAACUUAUUAUGGUCAUUUAUGUUGGAAAGGAUGGUGUAACAAGGAAUUGCACACAGAACUUGUCAGAAUGAUUCUUCUGUCUACUGUUUUUAAAAUGUAUUCAUUUAUGGGAGGUGGGCAUCACUGGCGGGGCCAACAUUUAUUGCUGUCCCUGGUUGCCUUUGAGAAGGUGGUGAUGAGCUGCCUUCUUGAACUGCUACAGUCCACCUGCUGUGGGUUGACCCACAAUGUCAUUAGGGAGGGAAUUCCAUUUAGUAUUGUGAGUAAAAUAAGACUGCACAUUCUGAAGCUAAUUCCUCAUGGGGAUAGAUCUAAAAUAUAGAAGAGGUCAAAUUUCAGGUCUCAUUAGCAUGAAUUAACAUGGGAGAAAUUUCUGGUGUUUGAGAUACAUGUUUGAGAUACAACAAGUCCUUGGCAGAAGAAAAUAUCAAGAAAGCCUGUAAAGGCAAUAUGCCCAAAAUGCCUUGGUCUUUUACUUUCUUGUAUUGAUUGCUACAAAUUGGUGUAACUUGGCUUAUUAUAAUGGCUCUCAUUUGUAGAUUAAGGGCAAUAUGUACAAAGUUGUAAAAUUAAUGGGCUCAUAAGAGGUAUAAAAAGUACACCCAAAUCUGAGGGGAGGUGGGUAACAGCCAUUUUUCUGGUAUAUACUUGCCAUUUCCUCAAGUUUUUUUUUUACAAAGCCCUUUACCUUCAGAGAGACUAGCACUGUAUUUUCUGUUUCCUUCAAAGGCAUCAAUCUGAAUCAUCAAAAUUGAAAAGCUUUUAUAAUCACAUGCUCUUCAAUAUUCAACUUCAGUAUGAUGUGUUCUCAACUAUCAGUGAAAGCUAGGCAGAAUCAAAUGGAAUAGUGCUAAAGGUGAUGAAAUGUUAAAAAUAGAUGGGUUGUGCUGCAGUAUCAGUGUUACACUGGCUCAAAAGCCCAUUCACCUGAAGCAAUUCACAUCCACAAAUCAGACUACAUUCCAAGCCAAGGGGAGGUGGUGCAUAGUGGUAACGUCACGGGGAACAUGGAUUAAAAUCUCACCAUAGCAGCUGGUAGAAUUUGAAUUCAAUUAAUAAAUCUAGAAUUAAAAACUAGUCUCCGUAAUGAAGACCGUUAAACUAACAUCAAUUGUUGUAAAAAACCAUCGGGUUUACAAAGUUCCAUUAAGGAGGGAAGACUGGUAUCCCUGCCUGGUUUGGCCUACUUGUGACUCCAGACCCAUGGUAAUGUGCUUGAUUAUUAACUGCUCUCUGAAAUGGCAAAAUAGACUAUUUGGUACAAAGGCAGUCAGGAAUGGGAGACAAAUAGUGCCAUUGACACUAAUGGCAACAGCCCACGAAAGGAUAGAGAGAACAAAAACAAUCUCCACUAACUGCAUGUCAUCACUGAGAAAUUUGGGUUAUUGAGUAAAUAUCUAAUUUCAUGAUUUAUAUGUUUGUUAUAACCACAUGAGGACUGAAAGACCAUAAGGAAUAGGAGCAGAAUUAGGUCAUGCAACCAUCGAGUCUGCUCCACCAUUUGACCAUGGCUGAUAUGGUUCUCUUCUCCUGCCUUCUCCCUGUAACCCUUGAUUCCACAAGACGGUGGCAGAGUGGUAGUGCAAUGUCCAGGCUCCUCAGCCCAGGAGACUGGAACUCGUCUACUCCAUCCACAUUACUUUUUAUUUUUUCUAUGCUUUUUCUUUAAUGUUUCUAUUUAUUAUGGCACCUUAUCAUCUUUUAACGACUUCAGCAGAAGGUGGUUUCUCCUGGCUGAGGCCCAGCAACAAGAUGCCUUCCAAUGUCCCAGACUGGCAGUAUAGGCCUGGUGUGUAGCGGGGUGGUCUCCCAGUGUGGUAGUCUUAUCCAGGAGAGGUGGUCUCCUGGCACGGAAAUCUUGCCCUGUAUUGGUGGUUGUCUUCGGUGGUUGCUAGGUAUUCCAGCAGUCUGGCAUGGAAGUCUCAUCCUCGCUUCAGAAGUGGCUUCCGGGUCUUCCAAAAGCCCUGCAUAGAGGUCUUGUCUUGGUGUGGCGGGGCUGUCUCAGCCCAGUGUUAUGCUCUCAGCCUGGCACUGUGUGACGGUUUUGACCCAGUUUUCCAGCAUUCCCCAAAUCUAGGAGCCGUUAACUGAAUGGUGAUGAACUUUUUUUUUCCUGUUUAUGACUUCUGUCAUUAAUUUAGCUGCCGUGGUGUGACAACUUAUAAAAUGUUUCACUGUUUUGUUUUGUAACAAUACACGUGACAAUAAAUUGCUAUUCUAUUCUA